rnacentral:rRNA from 1 species
UGGGGAAUAUUGCACAAUGGGCGCAAGCCUGAUGCAGCCAUGCCGCGUGUGUGAAGAAGGCCUUCGGGUAGUAAAGCACUUUCAGCGGGGAGGAAGGCGAUAAGGUUAAUAACCUUGUCGAUUGACGUUACCCGCAGAAGAAGCACCGGCUAACUCCGUGCCAGCAGCCGCGGUAAUACGGAGGGUGCAAGCGUUAAUCGGAAUUACUGGGCGUAAAGCGCACGCAGGCGGUCUGUCAAGUCGGAUGUGAGAUCCCCGGGCUCAACCUGGGAACUGCAUUCGAAACUGGCAGGCUAGAGACUUGUAGAGGGGGGUAGAAUGCCAGGUAUAGCGGUGAAAUGCGUAGAGAUCUGGAGGAAUACCGGUGGCGGAGGCGGCCGCCUGGACAAAGACUGACGCUCAGGUGCGAAAGCGUGGGGAGCAAACAGG